rnacentral:lncRNA from 1 species
AUCCCAUCCUAUAUUAACUGUAAAACAAAACUAGCUGUUAGAAGGAGGGCUUUCACCUACAUGUGCUAUUGCAUGACCGGCUUCCUUGCCCCUUCCAGACCCCAGAGUUCUUCCAGAGACCAGACACCAGAGUUCUUCCAGACCCCAGAGUUCUUACAGAGAGCAGACCCCAGAGUUCUUACAGAGAGCAGAGUUCUUACAGACCCCAGAGUUCUUAAAGAGAGCAGACACCAGAGUUCUUACAGACACCAGAGUUCUUACAGAGAGCAGACCCCAGAGUUCUUACAGAGAGCAGACCCCAGAGUUCUUACAGACACCAGAGUUCUUAAAGAGAGCAGACCCCAGAGUUCUUACAGACCCCAGAGUUCUUACAGACACCAGAGUUCUUAAAGAGAGCAGACCCCAGAGUUCUUACAGAGAGCAGACCCCAGAGUUCUUACAGAGAGCAGACCCCAGAGUUCUUACAGACCCCAGAGUUCUUACAGACACCAGAGUUCUUACAGACCCCAGAGUUCUUAAAGAGAGCAGACCCCAGAGUUCUUACAGAGAGCAGACACCAGAGUUCUUACAGACACCAGAGUUCUUACAGACCCCAGAGUUCUUCCAGAGAGCAGACCCCAGAGUUCUUACAGACACCAGAGUUCUUACAGACACCAGAGUUCUUACAGAGAGCAGAGUUCUUCCAGAGAGCAGACCCCAGAGUUCUUACAGACACCAGAGUUCUUACAGACCCCAGAGUUCUUCCAGAGAGCAGACCCCAGAGUUCUUACAGACCCCAGAGUUCUUACAGACACCAGAGUUCUUCCAGAGAGCAGAGUUCUUCCAGAGAGCAGACCUCAGAGUUCUUACAGACCCCAGAGUUCUAACAGACCCCAGAGUUCUUACAGACCCCAGAGUUCUUACAGAGAGCAGACCCCAGUUCUUACAGACACCAGAGUUCUUACAGACCCCAGAGUUCUAACAGACACCAGAGUUCUUACAGACCCCAGAGUUCUUACAGACACCAGAGUUCUCUACAGAGAGCCGCUCUGUGUACACACUGGUGAGUCACAGCUCUGACAUAGCUGCAUGGAGCCUUCUCAUU